rnacentral:rRNA from 1 species
GCGGCGGACGGGUGAGUUCACGUGGGCAACCUGCCCUGCAGACUGGGAUAACUUCGGGAAACCGGAGCUAAUACCGGAUAACACCGAAAACCGCAUGGUUUUCGGUUGAAAGGCGGCUUUUAGCUGUCACUGCAGGAUGGGCCCGCGGCGCAUUAGCUAGUUGGUGAGGUAACGGCUCACCAAGGCGACGAUGCGUAGCCGACCUGAGAGGGUGACCGGCCACACUGGGACUGAGACACGGCCCAGACUCCUACGGGAGGCAGCAGUAGGGAAUCUUCCGCAAUGGACGAAAGUCUGACGGAGCAACGCCGCGUGAGCGAAGAAGGUCUUCGGAUCGUAAAGCUCUGUUGUCAGGGAAGAACAAGUGCCGUUCGAACAGGGCGGUACCUUGACGGUACCUGACGAGGAAGCCACGGCUAACUACGUGCCAGCAGCCGCGGUAAUAC